ensembl:lncRNA
UGGGAGGGGUGGAGCCAGGAUCCGCCCUUUCCCAGACAUCAUUUAAGGGUUGGCAGGGGGGAGGUAAGGGUAUUUUGCUGGAGCUCCCUGUGUGCCUGAGGCCUUCUAGAGCUAUUAUCUUGACUGUGAUUUACUCCCCUCAAAUCAUUAACAAUGCUAUUAAAAAGGUGGAUAUAGAUGAACAUUCUGGAUAGUGUGCAGGAAAAUAAUAAAAUUAUGGCUGAGGGUCAAGAAUGAAGCUGAAAAACAACCGCUUUUAGGGGACAGAGACAGGGGACUGUAAAGGAACAGGCAUCUGAGAGGAGAUGAAAUGAAGAGGAUGAAAUACAGCAAAACCCAUGAUCUCAUUUGGUCCGGUUCCUUACGGUAGCUGAAGUGCUUUUGUGGUAAGAUUCCUUCUUUCUUUCCCCAAAUGCUGCAGUUUAAUCUGAGUUCUGAAGAGACAUUCAUUUCCUGAAAGGCACAGUCAUCUAGAAUCACACAGCUUUUCCUCACAAUGAAAAUAUGUGUGUACAUCAUGAAGAAGAUAAAUACAUGUACGAAUUAGAGUCCCC